GUACAUAUAAAUAAUCAAGCAUUGCAAUCUUUACCAUUGACAUUUUGAUAAUCGAAACAUAUCUGAUUCUACUGUUUGAGAUACCUCAAAGAAAACAAUCUUAAGAUAUGAAGAUCUACAUUUUAUUUGCUGCCUUAUUCCUAUUUUUCUGCAUUUGCCAGGCAGAGACAGAGCCUGAGAUUGCUAAACGAGCGGACGUAUAUGACGAUUUUAAGGCACUUGAAAUAGCAUUUGGAGAUUUGGUGAAGAGAGGAUAUGCAUUCUUAAAAGGAAUUCGUCUAUGGAUCAAAUAAAUUCAAAUCUGGGAGCACACUAGAAUGAAGGUUUCAAUAAAAUUGAAUUAAUAAUGA